rnacentral:misc_RNA from 1 species
AAAGUCGUAACAAGGUUUCCGUAGGUGAACCUGCGGAAGGAUCAUUAAUUAUGCUCACGCAUAUCCGGCUCUGGCGGCCUAAAAAACCGCCUUGAGUUACCACCCUCUGUGAACCUUUAUAUUUUUGCUUCGGCAGCUCGCCUCCCCUUGUGGGUAGCGGUAAGGCUGCCGACAGCCCAUACCAUAAACUAUUUUGUUACCAAAACCAUGCAGUCUGAUUAUCUGAUAAAUUUAAAAGUUAAAACUUUCAGCAACGGAUCUCUUGGUUCUC